CUUGACGACCAUAGAGCAUUGGAACCACCUGAUCCCAUCCCGAACUCAGCAGUGAAACGAUGCAUCGCCG
rnacentral:rRNA from 1 species